rnacentral:rRNA from 1 species
UGAUGAACGCUAGCGACAGGCUUAACACAUGCAAGUCGAGGGGCAGCGGGGGUAGCGAUACCCGCCGGCGACCGGCGCACGGGUGAGUAACGCGUAUGCAACUUGCCUAUCAGAGGGGGAUAACCCGGCGAAAGUCGGACUAAUACCGCAUGAAGCAGGGGCCCCGCAUGGGGAUAUUUGCUAAAGAUUCAUCGCUGAUAGAUAGGCAUGCGUUCCAUUAGGCAGUUGGCGGGGUAACGGCCCACCAAACCGACGAUGGAUAGGGGUUCUGAGAGGAAGGUCCCCCACAUUGGUACUGAGACACGGACCAAACUCCUACGGGAGGCAGCAGUGAGGAAUAUUGGUCAAUGGCCGAGAGGCUGAACCAGCCAAGUCGCGUGAGGGAUGAAGGUUCUAUGGAUCGUAAACCUCUUUUAUAAGGGAAUAAAGUGCGGGACGUGUCCCGUUUUGUAUGUACCUUAUGAAUAAGGAUCGGCUAACUCCGUGCCAGCAGCCGCGGUAAUACGGAGGAUCCGAGCGUUAUCCGGAUUUAUUGGGUUUAAAGGGUGCGUAGGCGGCCUUUUAAGUCAGCGGUGAAAGUCUGUGGCUCAACCAUAGAAUUGCCGUUGAAACUGGGGGGCUUGAGUAUGUUUGAGGCAGGCGGAAUGCGUGGUGUAGCGGUGAAAUGCAUAGAUAUCACGCAGAACCCCGAUUGCGAAGGCAGCCUGCCAAGCCAUUACUGACGCUGAUGCACGAAAGCGUGGGGAUCAAACAGGAUUAGAUACCCUGGUAGUCCACGCAGUAAACGAUGAUCACUAGCUGUUUGCGAUACACUGUAAGCGGCACAGCGAAAGCGUUAAGUGAUCCACCUGGGGAGUACGCCGGCAACGGUGAAACUCAAAGGAAUUGACGGGGGCCCGCACAAGCGGAGGAACAUGUGGUUUAAUUCGAUGAUACGCGAGGAACCUUACCCGGGUUUGAACGCAUUCGGACCGAGGUGGAAACACCUUUUCUAGCAAUAGCCGUUUGCGAGGUGCUGCAUGGUUGUCGUCAGCUCGUGCCGUGAGGUGUCGGCUUAAGUGCCAUAACGAGCGCAACCCUUGCCACUAGUUACUAACAGGUAAAGCUGAGGACUCUGGUGGGACUGCCAGCGUAAGCUGCGAGGAAGGCGGGGAUGACGUCAAAUCAGCACGGCCCUUACAUCCGGGGCGACACACGUGUUACAAUGGCGUGGACAAAGGGAGGCCACCUGGCGACAGGGAGCGAAUCCCCAAACCACGUCUCAGUUCGGAUCGGAGUCUGCAACCCGACUCCGUGAAGCUGGAUUCGCUAGUAAUCGCGCAUCAGCCAUGGCGCGGUGAAUACGUUCCCGGGCCUUGUACACACCGCCCGUCAAGCCAUGGGAGCCGGGGGUACCUGAAGUCCGUAACCGAAAGGAUCGGCCUAGGGUA